rnacentral:lncRNA from 1 species
CUUGGCAACAGUACAUCCCCAUCUUGUCUCCUUGUCCCACACCAAUGACUGAGUGCCAUGUUUUGCUCUCUUCAACUGUGUUGCAGGUACUGGCAUGUUUAUUUUGCUUCAUAACAUUAAGUGGGAUACCUUGCGCCCCUAUUUGAGUAGGCCUGCCGCCUUUGUAUCACUGUUGGUGCAUAUCCUUCUGUUUCCUGUUGUGCUGGGAAUAGAAUAGAAUAGACUGAGCAGAAUUUUUGGUUUCUGUAGUUGCCUAACUAGGCAAAGGUAAAGGGACCCCUGACUGUUAGGUCCAGUCGCGGACGACACUGGGACUGCAGCGCUCAUCUCGCUUUAUUGGCCGAGGGAGCCGGCGUACAGCUUCCGGGUUAUGUGGCCAGCAUGACUAACCAGAGUAGUGCAUAGAAACGCCGUUUACCUUCCCACCAGAGUGGUACCUAUUUAUCUACUUACACUCUGACGUGCUUUCGAACUGCUAGGUUGGCAGGAGCAGGGACCGAGCAACGGGAGCUCACCCCGUCGCAGGGAUUCGAACCGCCGACCUUCUGAUCGGCAAGCCCUAGGCUCAGUGGUUUAGACCACAGCGCCACCCGUGUCCCACAGUUGCCUAACUAGCAUGCUUCAAUAGGUUAUAAGAAGCCUAUACAGUCGUACCUUGGCUCCCAAACGCCUUGGGAGUCAAACGUUCCGGCUCCUGAACGUUCGAAAACCGGAAGUGAGUAUUCCGGUUUUCAAACUAUUUUUGGAAGCCAAAUGUCCGGUGUGGCUUCCGCUAUUGUUUCUGGCACGCCUGCACAAUCGGAAACCAGUUGGAAGCCGCGCCUUGGUUUCCAAACAUUUUGGAAGUCGAAUGGUCUUCUGAAACAGAUUCCGUUCGACUUCUGAGGUACAACUGUACUAGUUCGUUAACCAGUGUUACCAGGCUUGCUUGGGACACAGGUCUCUCUAUACAUGUAUUUCUGUAACUGCUUCUACAUAUUUGGGGAAUAAUCUUUUUGGAACAUGAUUUACUGGAGGGAAUUUAGCUCAGAUAUGCUAAGGGAACAAUUUCCCACUGUGACCAUGGCACUUUUCUGCUUUCAUUCUGUCUGAGACCCAUUUAAACAACCUGAUACGGUGAAAUUCUGGACUGUACCACUUCAGUUUACAUGUGUGUGUGUUUUCAUAUCUUUAUAUGUUCCCUCCAGUAAAAAGUUACCUGAUAUAGAAAGUGAACAGAUCAGGGAGGAGGAUUUCUUUUUGAUGUCCUACUUUAUUACCUUCAGGUAGAUCUGCAUGUGUGUGUAUAUCUAUAUCUCUCUAUCUCUAUAUCUGAUGGGAGCAUUUAUGACCCUACCCACUGGCAAUCUGCAGUGGCACAGCCAACAACUUUAUUUGCACAACUCCUAGUCUACAGAUAAGUAUCUAGAAUACUUGAUUAGACAGAGUAUUUCUAGUGCUGACAGCAAUAAAUCUCAAGAACUCACCUGUCAAGUUCUCCCAUGGUUACUUAUUCUUACAAAUGCCCUUGUCCCCAGACAUGAUGAUCUUGGGACAUUACAACCACAGUAAAUGCAACUAUUUAAAACUCCAUAUUGCCUUCCCCGUGCAUUUAUCUCACUUAUAUAAAUUUAAUUGUGUGACAAUAAUGGCAGUAAUGAGAUGCAUUAAAAGCAAUGCAACUUCUUCCUAAAAACAUAGAAGUCUGUUUGGGUAUUUUGUUUGUUUGAUUCACAAGUAGAUAAUAAAUUGACAUGCCUGAUCUUAUUUGGGGUAAUUUGUUUACAGCAUAAUGGAUUUUGACAAGGCCAGUUUUCUGCAGCUUUGCUUCGAAAAUGACUCAAAUUUUCCCCAUGUUCAGAACCAAAGGCCUUUCCUUAUAGAAUUUUAUCAACUUUUUGUUAUUAAAUGGGGUUAAAUGAUACAAAGCGGUAAUUCAGGCUUUCUAGGAGGAGUAACCUCAAGCUUCCCAGAAAGAGUAAGAUGCAUUAUUUAUUUAUUUAUUUCUAAAAUGUGUAAGCUGCUCGUCAUCCUAAAAUGAAUUUCAGAAAUUAAAAAUCUACCAAACAUAUCCAGAGUUUUAAUAGGAGUAACUACUUCCUCAAAACUGUCUUGCUUUAACAUUAUUAGGUAAAUAUAAGUUGCCAUUUAAAGUGACAGUAGCCAAUUUUCAAAGCUAUUCUCAUUUGAAGAUGUUGUUGUUUAGUCGUUUAGUCAUGUCCGACUCUUCGUGACCCCAUGGAUAAGAGCACGCCAGGCACUUCUGUCUUCCACUGCCUCCCGCAGUUUGGUCAAACUCAUGCUGGUAGCUUCGAGAACACUAUCCAACCAUCUCGUCCUCUGUCGUCCCCUUCUCCUUGUGCCCUCCAUCUUUCCCAACAUCAGGGUCUUUUCCAGGGACCCUGGACCCAACAUCAGGGACUUUUCUUUUCUCAUGAGGUGGCCAAAGUAUUGGAGCCUCAGCUUCACGAUCUGUCCUUCCAGUGAGCACUCAGGGCUGAUUUCCUUAAGAAUGGAUAGGUUUGUUCUUCUUGCAGUCCAUGGGACUCUCAAGAGUCUCCUCCAGCACCAUAAUUCAAAAGCAUCAAUUCUUCGGCGAUCAGCCUUCUUUAUGGUCCAGCUCUCACUUCCAUACAUCACUACUGGGAAAACCAUAGCUUUUACUAUACGGACCUUUGUUGGCAAGGUGAUUCUCUACUUUUUUAAGAUGCUGCCUAGGUAAACAACAACCCCUUCAUGGAUCACUGCCUUGCCGUGGUGAAGGGGCUUGAAUAACUCAGAGAAGCUAUGAACUAUGCCGAGCAGGGCACCCAAGAUGAACAGGUCAUAGUGGAGAGUUUUGACCAAACGUGAUCCACCUGGAGGAGGAACCGGCAAGCCACUCCAGUAUCCCUGCCAAGAAAACUCCAUGGACAAAGACAACAGGCAUUUGAAGAUACAGUACCAUAUUAAAGUAACUAGUGUUAGGCGGCUGCAGGCAACUCCCACAGCUGGUUGCCAGGCACGUACAAAGGCAUGGAAAAGUUUCUUACUGGCUGCUUUUUAUUCAAUAUUUACAGCCUCUUGGGUAAUGGCAUUGUCACAAGUAAAUCUACCCCCCCUCCCACUUCCUCAUUCAUCAUCAGCAUCACCUCCUCUAUGGGUGCCCUCUGCUUCAAACUCUUUGUUCUCCUACUUUUAAGGCUCGUUGGGUUCUGGGAGAUGGUGGGUCUGGAAUGCUUUCUAAUGAUAACGUGUCAGCCAGCUACUGCUCCAGCUCUGCCUGCUCCUCCUCUCCCAUGAUUUACCAACUUCCCCCCUCAUCUUUCUCUGAGCUGUGACCUCCCUCAGACCCCUGUUGUAAUUCUGAAAUGUCUUCCUCUUCUCUGGAAGGGUCAGGCUGGGGAGGCGGUCUCCACUAUUCCUCCUCUGCCCAGUCCCUGACAACUAGAUAAACUUAUUGUGGACUUCACAAUCUUGAAACAAAUAAUAUCUUUAAUUUAAUACAGUAACUGCAUCUGACUAGCUUUGUACCACACACCUGUACCCCAUAGCUUCCAGCUUUUGGCAAAUUAAGAGUCCAGAUGGAAUAAGGAAAAUGGGAUGGUGGCAGUGGCCCAGGGGUAGGGUGGAAGUUGGGUUUUCGUGCCACAAGAGGUCCAGAGGGUGACAACAUGAGAACAGGCCUUUUCUGCGAUGGCUCCCCGCUUGUGGAAUGCUCUUUCGAGGAAGACUUGCCUAGCACCUUUGUUACAUAUCUUCAGGUGGCAGGUGAAAACAUUUCUCUUCAACUGGGCCUUCGGCUGAUUAACAUUCAAUGGCCUUUUAAAUAUGUUUGGGGGGAUUAUUGAUUUGGUUUAGUUUUAUCUUAUUAUGUAUUUUGUGUUUUCAUAUUUUUAUGUUGUGAACUGCCCUACGAUAUUUGGAUAAAGGGCGUUAAACAAAUUUUACAAUAAUACCACCACCACCACUAUAAAGUAUGGGGGAAGAACCCUUCACACACACAAUUCAUUGAUAUCUGUAGGCUUGUUGACAACAAUGUGAUAGAGGGAUGCUGCCAAGGAUUGUGCCUUCACUCUUUCCCUGUUGAUAGCAAUAAUUCCUGAAUAGCAUUGCUCCUACCCAUACUCAUAUCUUCAUCUUCCUCUUCCUCUUCCUCUCCCUCCCCCCUUCUGUGUAGGCAGGCAGGCAUGUAGGCAUUAAUUACUGGUUUCCUAAAACCCGCCAUUAAACAAAGAAAGAAAAAUGAGAAGAAACAAGUGGGAGAAGAAGCUGGCAUUGAGACAACAGAGAAUACUGAAAGUGCAGAUCAUGGGCUACUCAUCACUACUUCCCUGGCCUUGAUCAACAGGAAUCAAUAAAACAGGGUGAAGCUAUAUAGAAGAAGCUUUCAAAUAACGUUGGAAAGAACCUUUGCUGAAUGGAAGUGGUUGGACAUUAUCAAAGGAUAUUUGUCAAAGAAAAGGGCAUUGCUUUAUCAUACAAUGGUAUAUUAGGGGCGGUGUGGAAUUUCUGUUUUAAUUCUCUGUCCACCUCAUUUCAAAAGUGCAAUGCUUGUGUGUUGAGGAAAAGGGACCUUGGGCCAUAUUAUGUGGCCAUGCUACCAAAGUCACAUAACUUCUUUAAUGCCUGUCGUGUAAAUCAUGAAAUGCAAUGGGAAUCUUCACAUGUUUGUGGAGGUUUCCUGUGCUGUUUAGAAACAAAGGCUAUCAGGCUUCUCAAUGUUGCAGAGAACCCUCACUCCUAGAGGAGUCCUCCUGCUGUAGAGUAUUGUAAACAUGACUGUGUUAGGAUAUAGUUCUGCUCCACCUUAAAAGGAUCAGGCAUGACUGUUGUGUGUCACAUGCCUGUUUACUUCCAGCACAGUCUGCUGGGAACUUCCGUUUGUAUAUUGCUUUUGCUUUUUCCUGUUUUGCUUGGACACGAAGGGAAGCAGACAUAUUUUUCCAUUGUCCUGCUGUACAAUAAAUGCUGUAAAUAUGCUUACACAUGUCUCUGUCUGCUACUUCUGCUGCAAAGAGUUUUAUCUCUGCUGGCUUGUGUGCUUAAGCUUCUGAAGGCUUCUGAGGCUUGACUCACAGUUUUGAUGCUGUUCCGAGAACCGGAGUUUCGCUCGGCU